CUGGCAGUAUAAGGAUCAGCUACCUCCAGUUUCCUGGGAAGUCUUUUUGCUGCUAGCUGGGUUUUCUUUGCUCUUACAGGUGCUUUGGGUGUGGAGUACCACCUCAGGUGUGAUGUCUAACAAGGCUUUACAUAUACAAGGCUUGGUCCUGCUGAAGAUGUACUUGCCUGACCAUUCCCCUUGCAGAGAAGGAAAUCAUUCCUAUUUGCAGUCUGAAGAGAUGGCUGGACAUAGAGUUCACUCAGUGAGGUCAGAAGAGUCAACAUUAUUAUUACUAGUAAUGACAAGUGGAGCUACUGUUCCAGCCUUCUGGUUUCAUCAGAAUCCUACAGCCUAGUUCUAAUCUUACAGCCUAUUUCAUAUUCAUGGAGGUGGUUUAAGAGAAAUUAGGGGAGAAUCUGCAUGAAGCUUUAUAAACAGCUCAGAUACAAACUGAAGUUUCUUCAUAGUAAGAAACAUUCGUGAGCUGUGAUAUGCUUAUAUUCAUCUUGAAACCUACCAGUGCUGAUGUGUUUCGAUCUUGGGAUUUAACUUGGGCUAUUCCAGGGAAAGGAGCUUGACAUAAAAAUUUAACAUAUUCAGAGGCUUUUUUUCUUCGCAAUUGGCUCCAAGCCUAACUUGAACUUAUUUCAGAGCCAUUUCUUAUUAAAUAUUCUGGGGGCAAAGAGCAAGUUUUUCUUGUCCCAGAAGAAGUUGUCUUAUCAUUAUGAAUAUACUUGCAAUGACUCAAAGUUCCUGGCACUUUUUGUUAUGUACAAAUAAAAUUUGUCAUGAUACAGGUGGCUGCA
ensembl:lncRNA